CCGAGUUAUACAACUCAUCAACCCUGUGAACAUACCUAUAACGUUGCCUCGGCGGGAACAGACGGCCCCGUAACACGGGCCGCCCCCGCCAGAGGACCCCCUAACUCUGUUUCUAUAAUGUUUCUUCUGAGUAAACAAGCAAAUAAAUCA
rnacentral:misc_RNA from 1 species